rnacentral:rRNA from 1 species
AACGAACGCUGGCGGCAUGCCUAACACAUGAAGUCGCACGCGACCUUCGGGUCUAGUGGCGCACGGGUGCGUCACGCGUGGGAACCUGCCCUUAGGUUCGGAAUAACUCCCCGAAAGGGGUGCUAAUACCGGAUAAUGUCUUCGGACCAAAGAUUUAUCGCCUUUGGAUGGGCCCGCGUUGGAUUAGCUAGUUGGUAGGGUAAAAGCCUACCAAGGCGACGAUCCAUAGCUGGUCUGAGAGGAUGAUCAGCCACACUGGGACUGAGACACGGCCCAGACUCCUACGGGAGGCAGCAGUGGGGAAUAUUGGACAAUGGGCGAAAGCCUGAUCCAGCAAUGCCGCGUGAGUGAUGAAGGCCUUAGGGUUGUAAAGCUCUUUUACCCGGGAUGAUAAUGACAGUACCGGGAGAAUAAGCUCCGGCUAACUCCGUG